GUGGGUAGUUUGACUGGGGCGGUCUCCUCCUAAAGAGUAACGGAGGAGCACGAAGGUUGGCUAAUCCUGGUCGGACAUCAGGAGGUUAGUGCAAUGGCAUAAGCCAGCUUGACUGCGAGCGUGACGGCGCGAGCAGGUGCGAAAGCAGGUCAUAGUGAUCCGGUGGUUCUGAAUGGAAGGGCCAUCGCUCAACGGAUAAAAGGUACUCCGGGGAUAACAGGCUGAUACCGCCCAAGAGUUCAUAUCGACGGCGGUGUUUGGCACCUCGAUGUCGGCUCAUCACAUCCUGGGGCUGAAGUAGGUCCCAAGGGUAUGGCUGUUCGCCAUUUAAAGUGGUACGCGAGCUGGGUUUAGAACGUCGUGAGACAGUUCGGUCCCUAUCUGCCGUGGGCGCUGGAGAACUGAGGGGGGCUGCUCCUAGUACGAGAGGACCGGAGUGGACGCAUCACUGGUGUUCGGGUUGUCAUGCCAAUGGCACUGCCCGGUAGCUAAAUGCGGAAGAGAUAAGUGCUGAAAGCAUCUAAGCACGAAACUUGCCCCGAGAUGAGUUCUCCCUGAGACUUAGAGUCUCCUGAAGGAACGUUGAAGACGACGACGUUGAUAGGCCGGGUGUGUAAGCGCAGCGAUGCGUUGAGCUAACC
rnacentral:rRNA from 2 species